CAACGUGAGUUCCUGUAUAAAUACAACACGCGUCGAUUCUUGUUAUCGUUCAGUCAAAAAAUUGCAAUUUAAUAUUUGCCUUUUCGAAAUAAUUUGUAUUUCCCGCUGAAUAUUUCGCCGUAACUGUGUCAAAAAAUGAGAGAAAUAAUUUCCAGCCAUCUUUGAUUUCGAACAUGGAGGCUCGCGCUCCGGACUUUCUGAACUCCCCUCCGAACAAGACGGUGAGGUUCGGAGGCAGUGUGUCCGAGACCCUGAUCAAAUACAGACAGGGGGAUCUUUGUGAUUAUGAACUGCUGAAGCAUCAGCUGGCGGAUCCUGACAUAAAGGAUGCUCAGAUCAUCAACUGGCUGCAGGAGUUUCGAAGCUGUAUGUCCCAGCUGACCAAGGACCAUGAGC